rnacentral:rRNA from 1 species
ACUACGGGAGGCAGCAGUGGGGAAUAUUGGGCAAUGGGCGCAAGCCUGACCCAGCAACGCCGCGUGAAGGAAGAAGGCUUUCGGGUUGUAAACUUCUUUUCUCAGGGACGAAGAAAGUGACGGUACCUGAGGAAUAAGCCACGUCUAACUACGUGCCAGCAGCCGCGGUAAUACGGAGGUGGCAAGCGUUAUCCGGAUUUAUUGGGUGUAAAGGGCGUGUAGGCGGGAGCGCAAGUCAGAUGUUAAAACUCAGGGCUCAACCCUGAGCCUGCAUUUGAAAGUGUGUUUCUUGAGUGCUGGAGAGGCAAUCGGAAUUCCGUGUGUAGCGGUGAAAUGCGUAGAUAUACGGAGGAACACCAGUGGCGAAGGCGGAUUGCUGGACAGUAACUGACGCUGAGGCGCGAAAGCGUGGGGAGCAAACAGGAUUAGAUACCCGUGUAGUC